rnacentral:miRNA from 1 species
ACUCUAAAUUUUAAAUUCUAAAUC